UGCCGCGUGAGUGAAGAAGGCCUUCGGGUUGUAAAGCUCUUUCAGACGGAAAGAAAUCGGAUGGGUUAAUAGCCCAUCUGGAUGACGGUACCGUAAGAAGAAGCACCGGCUAACUACGUGCCAGCAGCCGCGGUAAUACGUAGGGUGCGAGCGUUAAUCGGAAUUACUGGGCGUAAAGCGUGCGCAGGCGGUUUUGUAAGACAGCUGUGAAAUCCCCGGGCUCAACCUGGGAACUGCGGUUGUGACUGCAAGACUUGAGUACGGCAGAGGGGGGUGGAAUUCCUGGUGUAGCAGUGAAAUGCGUAGAUAUCAGGAGGAACACCGAUGGCGAAGGCAGCCCCCUGGGCCUGUACUGACGCUCAUGCACGAAAGCGUGGGGAGCAAACAGGAUUAGAUACCCUGGUAGUCCACGCCCUAAACGAUGUCGACUAGUUGUUCGGAGGGUAAAACCUCUGAGUA
rnacentral:rRNA from 1 species